CGCCGUGCCCUGACAGGGACCCGCGAUCGCUCCCUCCUCCGGGCUCCAGGCGGCGGCUGCGAGCCCCGGUGCGGCGGCGAGGAGGGGGGGCUGCCGCAGCGCCGCUCGGGCGGGGGGCGGGCGAGAAAUGCCGAAGCUGCGUGGGGAGGCCUUCUGGAGGGAGACGCUGCGGAGCGCCCACUACGUGGUGGCGCCCAUGGUUGACCAGAGCGAGCUGGCCUGGAGGCUGCUGAGCCGCCGCCACGGCGCCCAGCUCUGCUACACGCCGAUGCUGCACGCCCAGGUCUUCCUCAGGGACGCUAACUACCGCCGCGAGAACCUUUACGACGAGGCUUGUCCCGAGGACCGUCCGCUUAUCGUGCAGUUCUGUGCCAAUGACCCUGAAGUGUUUGUCCAAGCAGCGCUGUUGGCUCAGGAUUAUUGCGAUGCCAUAGACCUAAAUUUGGGUUGCCCCCAAAUGAUUGCAAAGAGAGGUCACUACGGAGCAUUUCUGCAAGAGGAAUGGGAUCUUCUUCAGAGAAUGAUUUUACUGGCAAAUGAGAAGCUCUCUGUUCCCAUCACAUGUAAAAUCCGCGUUUUCCCAGAAAUUGACAAGACAGUGAAGUAUGCACAGAUGCUGGAGAAGGCUGGAUGCCAGCUGCUGACUGUGCAUGGCCGUACUAAAGAACAGAAGGGACCGCUUGCUGGCGUGGCGUCCUGGGAGCACAUUCAGGCUGUCAGAAAAGCUGUAAGCAUUCCUGUAUUUGCAAAUGGAAACAUCCAGUGUCUCAGUGAUGUUGAAGAAUGUAUCCGUAAAACAGGAGUGCAUGGUGUCAUGAGUGCAGAAGGUAAUCUCCAUAACCCAGCUUUGUUUGAGGGCCGAAACCCAUUGGUGUGGGAGAUGGCUGAGGAGUAUCUGGAGAUAGUGCAGAAGUACCCUUGUCCAUUGUCUUAUGUUAGGGCUCAUCUCUUCAAGCUCUGGCAUCACACGCUUCAAGUUUACCAGCAACUGCGUGAAGAAUUAGCAAAAGUGAAGACUCUAGAGGGCAUUGUAGAUGUCAACAGGGAGCUGAAACUACGAUGCCAGGAAGAAAUAGCUAAUCAGAAAGAAGGAGAAAAGCCAAAAGAAGGGUUGCCUUUCUUCCACUGGAUCUGUCAGCCAUACAUCAGGCCUGGGCCAAAGGAGAGAUGCAAGGAGAAUGGAGCCAGUGAAAAAGGUGCGCGAGGAAAACGUGCUUUGGAAGAGGAGGAAGAUGGAAAUGCUGAGCUUCUGUCAAAGAAUAAACAAAAAAAGAAGUUGAGAAAUCCAAAUAAAAGCUUUGAUCCAUCUUUAAAACCCAAAUAUGCAAAAUGUGAUCAAUGUGGAAACCCUAAGGGCAAUAAAUGUGUGUUUAACAUGUGCCGAGGCUGCUGUAAGAAAAGUGCAUUCAAAGCAACAGCAGACUGCCCAGGUCAUGGAUUACUUUUUAAGACCAAAUAUGAAAAAUCCCUUUCAUGGCAGAGUAGUCAAAGAGUAAUUCAAAACCCAGAGGUCAGUCGGAGAGGAGAUGUAGGUGUGGGGGAGACUGCUGUACUGAACGAGGCUGGUGACAGUGCAGUGUUGAAGCUUUGACAAUGCCCACUUAAAGAACUCUGCCAGACCUCUGCUUCCCUGGGCCAAGGAACAUGCCGUCUCCAGCUCACCGUCAGCUGUGCGAACUUGUUCCUCAGAUUUAUUUUAAGUUGGUGUGUAACAAUUCCCCAACAGCUCCUGCAGCUUUUACUGGCCAGUGACAAGAAAUUAUCCUGUGGUUGAGUUCUCAGUCUUGCAAGCACAUAUAGCAAGCAAAAGGCCAACACAGUGGACCACUGUACAGUAUGUAGUAAUGCAUUGAGUGCAUACUCUGUAUUACCACUUUCUGGUCUACAGUUUGAGGGUUUGGCUGGGUGAGGGGGCCAUUUGUGUUCUUAUAUUCUUGUGUUCAGCCUGUGCCACAGGUUGGAGCUGACUUAGGUGGGUACCUUCCACAAAUUCAAAAUA